rnacentral:lncRNA from 1 species
CAUAGUUGGCAAGACAAUCUUGUUUUCUUGAAAUCUUGGGUUUUGAGUUUAACCUGUCCAAGCUUGUAGUAAAAAUAUAUAUAAUUCUUCAUUCAUAUGGCUUCUUGAUGGUAUGUUGAUCAAAAAGUUAUCUUGAAUCAAUGAAUUCAUUUUUUUGGUUUCUUUGUUAAAGUUUAGCAUAAUUAACUUGUUAACCUUAUUGAAAUAUCAUGAUGACAUAAUUCCCUUUGUUAAAAGUUGUUUAUACGCC